rnacentral:rRNA from 1 species
GUUAUCCNNAUUUAUUGGNGUAAAGNGUCUGUAGNGUCCUGCACAAGUCCCCGGUCAAAGCCCACCGCUNAACGGUGGAACUGCCAGGGAAACUAGCAGGAUUGAGGUUGGGAGAGGUAAGNGGAAUUGCUGGUGUAGUAGUAAAAUGCGUUAAUAUCAGCAAGAACACCAAAGGCGAAGGCAGCUUACUGGAACACACCUGACGCUGAGAGACGAAAGCGUGGGGAGCGAAUGGGAUUAGAUACCCCAGUAGUCCACGCCGUAAACGAUGGAUGCUAGGCUUUGGCAGUAUCGACCCUGCCAGAGUCGUUUAAACAAGUUAACACCUUAAGCAUCCCGCCUGGGAAGUACGGC